UACGAAGGGUGCAAGCGUUACUCGGAAUUACUGGGCGUAAAGCGUGCGUAGGUGGUGAGUUAAGUCUGUCGUGAAAGCCCCGGGCUCAACCUGGGAAUGGCGAUGGAUACUGGCUCGCUAGAGUGCGGUAGAGGAGAGUGGAAUUCCCGGUGUAGCAGUGAAAUGCGUAGAGAUCGGGAGGAACAUCAGUUGCGAAGGCGGCUCUCUGGACCAGCACUGACACUGGGGCACGAAAGCGUGGGGAGCAAACAGG
rnacentral:rRNA from 1 species